GACGAAGGUGGUGAGCGUUGUUCGGAAUCACUGGGCAUAAAGCGCACGUAGGCGGUGUCGUAAGUCGGGUGUGAAAUCCCUCGGCCUAACCGAGGAACUGCGCCCGAUACUGCGAUGCUUGAGGACCAGAGGGGUGCAUGGAAUUUCCGGUGGAGCGGUGAAAUGCGUUGAUAUCGGAAGGAACUCCGGCGGCGAAAGCGAUGCACUGGCUGGUUUCUGACGCUGAGGUGCGAAAGCCAGGGGAGCAAACGGG
rnacentral:rRNA from 1 species